rnacentral:rRNA from 1 species
AACGGCGAGUGAAGAGGGAAAAGCCCAAAUUUGUAAUCUGGCUCUUUUAGAGUCCGAGUUGUAAUUUUGAGAACUGUUUUCCGUGCUGGACCAUGUACAAGUCUGUUGAAAAACAGCAUCAUUGAGGGUGACAAUCCCGUACAUGAUAUGGACUACCAGUGCAAUGUGAUACAGUCUCUAAGAGUCGAGUUGUUUGGGAAUGCAGCUCAAAGUGGGUGGUAAAUUCCAUCUAAGGCUAAAUAUAGGUGAGAGACCGAUAGCAAACAAGUACCGUGAGGGAAAGAUGAAAAGAACUUUGGAAAGAGAGUUAACAGUACGUGAAAUUGUUAAAAGGGAAACAUUUGAAGUUAGACUUGUUAUUGUUGGUUCAACCUUUUUUUUGAAGGUGUAUUCCAAUGGUUAACAGACCAGCAUCAAUUUUUGGGUGUUGGAUAAGGGUCUUGGAAAUGUGGCAACCUUGGUUGUGUUAUAGUCCUUGACUUUGAUACAAUGCUUAGGAUUGAGGAACGCAGUAAGCUUUGUAUUAAGCAGAUCUUUUUAGAUCUCCUUACUA